CCUACGGGAGGCAGCAGUAGGGAAUCUUCCACAAUGGGCGCAAGCCUGAUGGAGCAACACCGCGUGAGUGAAGAAGGGUUUCUGCUCGUAAAGCUCUGUUUUUGGAGAAGAACGUGCGUGAGAGUAACUGUUCACGCAGUGACGGUAUCCAACCAGAAAGUCACGGCUCACUACGGGCCAGCAGCCGCGGUAAUACGUAGGUGGCAAGCGUUAUCCGGAUUUAUUGGGCGUAAAGCGAGCGCAGGCGGUUGCUUAGGUCUGAUGUGAAAGCCUUCGGCUUAACCGAAGAAGUGCAUCGGAAACCGGUGAACUUGAGUGCAGAAGAGGACAGUGGAACUCCAGGUGUAGCGGUGGAAUGCGUAGAUAUAAGGAAGAACACCGAUGGCGAAGGCGGCUGUCUGGUCUGCAACUGACGCUGAGGCUCGAAAGCAUGGGUAGCGAACAGGAUUAGAUACCCCAGUAGUC
rnacentral:rRNA from 1 species